rnacentral:rRNA from 1 species
GAUGAACGCUAGCUACAGGCUUAACACAUGCAAGUCGAGGGGCAGCGCAGUGUAGCAAUACAUGGGCGGCGACCGGCGCACGGGUGCGUAACGCGUAUCCAACCUUCCCGUUACUCUCGGAUAGCCUUCCGAAAGGGAGAUUAAUACGAGAUGGUGUUGAAAUUCCGCAUGUUAUUUCAACUAAAGAUUCAUCGGUAACGGAUGGGGAUGCGUGACAUUAGGUAGAUGGCGGGGUAACGGCCCACCAUGCCUACGAUGUCUAGGGGUUCUGAGAGAAAGAUCCCCAACACUGGAACUUGGACACGGUCCAGACUCCUACGGGAGGAACCAGUGAGGAAUAUUGGUCAAUGGCCGGAAGGCUGAACCAGCCAAGUAGCGUGAAGGAUGAAGGUUCUAUGGAUUGUAAACUUCUUUUAUACGGGAAUAAAACCUCCCACGUGUGGGAUCUUGUAUGUACCGUAUGAAUAAGCAUCGGCUAACUCCGUGCCAGCAGCCGCAGUAAGAC